rnacentral:rRNA from 1 species
CGUCAAAUCAUCAUGCCCCUUAUGUCUUGGGCUACACACGUGCUACAAUGGCCGGUACAGACGGUCGCGAAGUCGUGAGACGGAGCCAAUCCGAGAAAGCCGGUCUCAGUUCGGAUUGCAGGCUGCAACUCGCCUGCAUGAAGUCGGAAUCGCUAGUAAUCGCAGGUCAGCAUACUGCGGUGAAUACGUUCCCGGGCCUU